rnacentral:lncRNA from 1 species
GUCCACCCGUUUCCUGCCAGCCCCGCCCCGCCUCCUGCCCCGCCCCAGGAUCCGCCUCUGCCUCCCCAAGCAACUGGGCCCUUUGUCACCCAGGCAACGCCAGGACGCCACUGCGUCUUCCUCCUGCACAGAGCCUGGCUGUGUGUAAGCAUAUGUGUAUGGGUCUCAUCAUCCCCAGCCCAGCUGCCUAGACCUAGCAGAGAGUGAACUUCAGGGUGUCGACCACCGUCCUGGUUUGAAUGGCUUGUCUGACUCCCAAGACUGCCUAUGCUUUGGAUAUGACUUUCAUUAUUUAUCUGAGUCCUGACAAUGCAUCUCUAUCUCACUAUAUAGGAGCAGGAUCCUCGACUGGCUGGCCUUCCACAAAUUUGAAAGGAGCAGAUAAAAGGGACUGCUUUUCAUGCUUUAGUACCUUCUUAUCUCAAAACAUUGUUAUUACUUCUUUCCCCUUUUGAUACAUGAUCUUCCUAUAUAACUCACACUGGCCUUGAACUUGUGAUUAUCCUGCCUCACCUUCCAAGUACAAGGAUUAAAGAUAGGCACAAUCACACCUUCCUUAUUGUUUCACUUACACACACACACACCCCACACACACACACCUGCACGGUUAUUUAUGCACAUGUUUCCAUGUGCCCAUAGAGUCCUGAGAAGAAGGACCUUAGAGCAGGAGUUAGAGGUGGCUGUGAGCUGCCCAAUUAAACCCACUACAGGGCAGCAAGUAUAUCUUCUGAGCCAUCUCUCCAGACUCCAUUAAUUUCCCAGUCCAGCCUCUAACCCAUUAUCCUGCCUCAGCCUCCAGAGUGCUGGAGGUAUAGCGUGCACAUCUAACUGUAAUUAUGGAUUUUGAGGUAACAUUUCAUCUAACUUGACAUUCAAUAAAUUUUUCAUUGGUGGUUUGCAGCCUAUUCCUAUAACAAAUGCCUUAGACAAAGCAACUGAAAAAGAAAAAUGUUUACAAAAUAAAGCUUAGCUUCAGGGGCUUGGUCUCUGUGGUGGUUUGAAUAGACUUGGCUCCCAGGGACUCUAUGUGUUUGAAUGCCUUAGCCCAUAAAAGCAGCACCAUUGGGAGGCGUGGCUUUGUGGAAGUGGGUGUGGCUUUGUUGGAGAAAGAGUUGCUAACUGUGGGGAGGAGCUUUGAGGUCUCCUGUGCUCAAGCUAUAACCAGCUUGACACACAGCCUCCUUUGCUCCCUGCAGAUCUACAUAUAGAACUUUCCUCCCUCCUCCAGCACCAUGUCUGCCUGCACGCCGCCAUGCUUCCUGCCUUGGCGAUAAAGGACUAAACCUUUGAAACGAGAACUCACAUAAACAUGGAUUCCGACCCAUCUGCUUAAGGAAGUGUGUGUCACAGUUGGAAGCAGCCUGUCUCCCACCUGCUGGUACUGCUGAGGGGUGUCACUGGAUCAUAAACAUCAAGACAUCAAAGCAGUGAACUCUGCCACAGGGAGGGAAGCCCAAGAGCCAAGGAAGUUAAAUUGUCAACAGGGGUGUCAAAGACGCUACAGAUGUGAAAUGAAGAAAUCUAGAGGCUGGAGAGAUGACUCAGUGGUUAAGAGCACCAGAUAAUCUUCCAGAAGAUCCCAGGUUCCAACACCCAUAUCACCACUCACCAUCGGCUCUAACACCAGUUCCAGGGAUACUGCCACCCUCUUCUGUCCUCUGCAGACACCAGGCAUCAUGCACGCGGUGUGGACAUCCAUGGAGACCAAACGCCCAUACACAUACAUACAUUCAUACAUACAUACAUACAUACAUACAUACAUACACACAUAAAUACAUACAUACAUACAUUCAUACAUACAUACAUACAUAGAUACAUUUAUUUUAAGAAAGAAGU